UAUCUGCUCCACUGAGGUUCACUAGAGAAAAUUAUUCCUUCUUAUGUGUGAAGAUAGAGUCUUAUCUCAAGGCUUUUACACUUUGAAAAGUUAUGAAAAUUAAUGAAAAACUUGUUCAGAGGAGUGCUACUCCAACCCUUGCUCAGAUUAGGCAAUUUGAGGAGGAUAAAUCAAAAAGGUAUAAAGCUUUGUCAUGCUUACAUUCAACUUUAUCUGAUGAAAUAUUUGUUAAGGUUAUGCAUUUGAAAACUCCAAAAUAGGUUUGGGAUUAUUUGAAGGAUGAAUUUUUUUGAAGUGAAAGAACUAGGCAGAUUCAAAGAUUUAAUCUCACUCAAAAAUUUAAAAUGCUUAGAAUAGAGGAUAAUGAAAACAUUAGAGAUUUUUUUGGAAAAGUGAUGGGACUAGUGAAUCAAUUGAGAUUAUUAAGAAGGAAAAUUACAGAGGAAAGAUUAAUAAGCAAAAUGUUAGUUAUCCUACCUAAAAAGUAUGAAUCUAAGGUGUCUUGGUUAGAAGACUGAAGGGAUUUUGCUUAGCUUACAUUUAAAGAGUUAGUUAAUGCAUUAGAAGUUCUUGAACAAAGGAGGGCUUUUAGGUAGAGAAGUGCAAUUGAUUUUGUCGUAUUUGCUAAGACUAAAAACUUGAAAGUGAGUGGAACUAGCACUAAGAGUGGUUCAACUGAUAAGAAAAACAACAAGAAAAAGACUAGAGAUAAUGAGAAGGGAGAUCAAAAAGGGAGUUUCCACCAUGUCAAUAUUGUAAAAAAAACCAAUCACACUAAGAAAUAUUGUUGGUUUAGACCUAAUGUUAAAUGCAAGGCAUACGCUCAAAAAGGGCAUGUGGAAAAAGUGUGUAAGAAUCAUUCUAACGUGAAUGAAAAAGCAGCUGUUGCAGAACAUGUGGAUGAAGAUACUGAUAAAGUUUUGUUUACGGAAACUAUUGGGGAAGAUUCAAGUAAAACUAAUUUUUGGCUAUUGGAUAGUGCUUUCUCACAUCAUUUGAUAGGUAACAAAUUUCUAUUUACUACACUUAAUGCUAAGUUAAUGUUUAAAGUGAAGAUUGGAGAUGGUAAUUACCUAGAUAUACUUGGAGGGGUAAUGUUAGUGUUGAAACUGCUUCUGGAAGUAAAUGUAUAAGUAGUGUGCAUUAUGUUCCUGAUGCCAAUCACAACCUGUUGAGUAUGGGACAGUUGGCUAAAGAGCACUAUGCUUUAUUGUUUAGAGAUGAUGUUUGUACUGUGAUUAACCCUUAGGAAAAUGAAAUGUUCACUGUUGCUAUAAAGAAUAAUUGUUAUCCACUCUAUUUAGCUAAUACAGCUUACUUGGCUUUUUAUAAUGAAUUGGAUAUGUUUGAGAUUUGGAACAUGAGACUGGGUCAUGUAAACUAUAAUUCCUUGUCUCUUAUGUUUUUAAAGAAUCUAGUGGAAAGCUUACUUGGAAUCUCAAAACCAGAUAAGCUUUGUCAAGCUUGUCGAUUUGGAAAGCAAUCAAGGAAACCUUUUCCUAAAGAAAGCAGAUGGAAGGCUACCAGAAAGCUUAAGUUGGUGCAUAUAAACUUAAAUGGACCAAGGAAAACCCCUUCACUCAACGGCAGUAGGUUCUAUAUAAUUUUCAUAGAUGACUUCACUAAGUAUUGCUAGAUAUACUUCUUGAAGCAAAAAUCUGAGACAUUGAGCUACUUCAAAAAGUUUAAGGCUACAGUUGAGAAUUUCUCAAGACUUUGAGAAAUGACAAUGGGAAGGAAUACACUUCAACUGAAUUUAAGCAAUAUUUAGAAUCUAUGGGAGUUUAGCAUUAGUUAACCAUUCCAUAUAAUCCUCAACAGAAUGGUAACGUUGAAAGAAUGAAUAGAAUUCUGGUUGAGAUAGGACGAUGCCUACUGUUUCAAAUGAAUGUCCCAACGGCAUUUUGUGCAAAAGUUGUGAAUACAGCUAACUAUAUUUUGAAUAGAGUUCAUACCAGGGUUUUGGAUAACAAAACUCCACAUGAAAUGUGGUUUGAUCAUAAAGCAAAGUGUUUCUCACUUAAAAGCUUUUGGUUGUGUAUGUUAUGCUAAGGUUUCAAAUGCCAAGAGGACCAAGUUUGAUCCAAAGUCUGCUGUAGCAGUGCUAGUUGGAUAUAGUGAGGUAUCAAAAGGCUACAGACUGUAUGAUACUAAGUUGAAAAAAGUAUUUGUGAGCAGGGAUGUGGUGUUUGAUGAGGGCCAGAGUUGGAAUUAGUCAAGUGCAUGAGUAGAAAAGUUUGAUUUUGCAACUGCAACUGAUGAUGUUUUAGUUCAAACUAAUACUGAUGACCAAUCUAACUUAGUGGAUGAAAGCAAAGCUGUAAAAGGCACUAGAAGUAUAAAAGACAUUUAUAGCUACUGUAAUGCUGCUUUAGCUGAACCCUCAUGCUUUAAAGAAGCAAAUUCAAAGGAACACUAAAAAUCAGCCAUAGAUGUCGGAAUAUAGAUGAUUAUUAAGAAUGGGACAUGGACUUUGGUGGACAGACCUGUUGACAAGAACACCAUUUGAGUUAAAUGGAUUUAUAAAACCAAAUUAAAUCCGGAUGGUUCUGUAGAUAAGUACAAGGCUCGAUUGGUGGUCAAAGGCUAUGCUCAAGUUUAUGGGGUUGACUAUAUGGAAACCUUUGCUUUAAUGGCUAAGCAUGACACAAUAAGAAUGCGUACUGCUUUGUCAUCAAGGGAGGGAUGGAGGAUUUAUCAUCUUGAUGUCAAAUCAGCCUUUCUUAAUGGCAUUCUUACUAAAGAUAUUUACAUUGAACAACCUGAAGGUUAUGUGCAGCGAGGGUUUGAGAAGAAGGUUUGCAAACUUAUCAAGGCACUGUAUGGUCUAAAGCAGGCUCUAAGAGCUAGAGACUAAAAUUGAUGAUCAUUUUAAGACUCAAGGGUUCCAAAGAAGCAUAAAUGAGUCAAUGCUAUAUGUGAAUUGUGAAAAUGGUGCUAUGGUACUCAUUGUUGCACUUUAUAUAAAUGAUCUCUUGGCUAUUGGACCAGAAGGUGAAUAUCUGACUAAAUUUAAAGCUCAAAUGAAAAAAGUGUUUGAAAUGACAGACUUAGGUGAGAUGACUUACUUUCUUGGUAUGGAGGUUAUGCAAGCUGUUGGUAAAGUUGUAUUACAUUAGGGAAGCUAUGCAAAGGAUCUGCUUAGCAAGUUUAAUAUGAGUAUGUGCAAGGUUGUAAACACUUAAUGGUGUACCGAUGCAAAAUUUAGCAAAGACGAUGGUACUGCUAAGGCAACUGAGUAGUUAUAUAGAAUCAUCAUUAGUUCGUUGUUGUACUUAGCUACUGAUAUGAUAAUGUUUGCAACAUGCUUGCUUUCAAGGUUCAUUCAAGAUCCUACAGAAACACACUUUACAGCAACUAAGAGGAUCUUGAGGUAUAUGAAAGGAACUUUGGAUUAUGGGUUAAUAUAUUUGAAGCAGGAGAGCAAUCAACUAGUAGGUUUUUCAGAUAGUGAUUGUGUUGGAUCAUUGGAUGACUCUAAAAGUACAAGAAGGUUUUGUUAUUCAUUUGGUAGUAUAGUAUUUGCCUUAAACUCAAAGAAACAACAAGUGGUAGCUCAAUCAACAGUUGAAGCAGAGUACAUUGUUUGUGCUGCUGCUGCUAACCAUACUUUAUGGUUGAGAAAUUUAUUGGUUGAGUUAGGAUUUAAGCAAGAAAAAGGAACUUUGAUUAAUGUUGACAACUUGUCAACAAUUGCCAUUGCCAAGAAUCCUGUUCAGCAUGGAAGUACUAAGCAUAUCAAAGUAAAGUACCAUGUUCUGAGAGAUGCAGUGAAAGAAGGAGAGAUUGAGUUGCUACAUUGUUUAAUUAAUGAUCAGCUUGUUGAUAUUUUCACCAAACGCUUGGGAAAUGAGAGAUUUGAGUAUCUGAGAUUCUGUCUUGGAGUUCUCCGGAUUAAGAAUUAUGGGGUUACAUUGAAAAGUAAUUCUCAAUCUGGAAAUCAAGCCACUGAAAGUACUGGCGGGAAGCAACAACUUUGAAUGUUGAAGAAAGUCUUUAAGAAGUAAAAUGUGUCGUCUUUAACUGACGAUGCUAGUUGCAAAAGUGCUAGUCCAUUGUGUUGUUUUGAUCUUUACCAUUAGCCGUGUUCAAAACAUUCUUAGUCAUGUUGUUUUGUUUUAUUUGUAGUUUAUUGUUUUUAUACGCACCAUUAUGGUGCCAAUUUGGUUUGUUUACUUGUUUCUAGUGUACGGCUUAACGAUCAUGUCUGUUUCUUUUCAUUUUACCAUUAAGUUGCUCAUUGAUUACUGUGCAAAUGUUUCCUAGGUCCGAUUUAGUCUUCAUGAACUAAAUUUUAGGAAAUGUUGUUAUUGAGAGAAUAUAAAUACAAAUUAAAAAAAUAAAUUAGGGCUUGAUGGCCAUUCAUUUUUUCUGAUCGACGUUAUCUAUCUUCUUCUUUUUCUCUGUUUUCCUAUUUUUCAACUUCUCCCUUAACUUUUCCAAAAAAGCUUAGCUUCCUUUUUCUUCACAGCUCAGGUACUUUAACCAGACGCCGCAAACAGGCCCCCUUUAAAUUAGCUAGGAUCAGUGGUCUCAACCGCUUUACAAACAAAAUCUCCUUGUUUUCAUUUGCAAAUCCUUCUAGUUUCAGCAGCCUAAGAUGAUUGCCUUUUCUGAGUCCAUUGACCUUAGCUGGGCACUGUUUUGUGCUUUUCAUGUUGUAGCUUUCGGGAUCAAUCUGCAAGUUUGAUGAAGAGUAUCAAAAUUGUCAAUUAAAGGUAGCAUUGCUGUGAGUUCCUUCCAUCACAGCAAAUAAAAAUCUACUUAAAGAUGAUAACACCAAGGAGAUCAAUGCCUGCAAAUAAAAUUGAUCAAAGUUUGAGCCAUGAGUAUUUAGGAGUGCAGAAGCCUGAAAAGAUCUUUUUGAAAGUGGAUAAAUUGCUGGAACAUGACUCGAAAACCCAUCUUCAUAGUGUUAGAGAGUUCACAUUUUUAAUGCUUUCGAAGAUUAAUUUGAAGCCAUCACAAUUGACGUUAUUGUAUAUAGGAGGGCCUUGUCUGAAAUAAAGCAUAGGCAUCUUUCAGUCGGAACUUGUAAGGAGACAGACCAAUUGGGAAAUGUGGGAAGGAAACUUCAAACUCGAAUAACACCAAUCGGUCUCUAUAUUGGAAAGAAGUUGAGUUGGAACCCUCAAAACUGAGAUUCUAAAUGGGGACAGUCCAAAGACAACUAAUUUAUGAAGCUCUCUAGCCUCCUUUAUUUGUAAAGUUUUAAUCCAUGUCUUUAUGAAUCACACAUUUAUCUAACCAAUUAUCAUUUCUG
rnacentral:lncRNA from 1 species